UAGGGAAUCUUCCACAAUGGACGCAAGUCUGAUGGAGCAACGCCGCGUGAGUGAAGAAGGUUUUCGGAUCGUAAAGCUCUGUUGUUGGUGAAGAAGGAUAGAGGCAGUAACUGGUCUUUAUUUGACGGUAAUCAACCAGAAAGUCACGGCUAACUACGAGCCAG
rnacentral:rRNA from 1 species